UACGGAGGGUGCAAGCGUUAUCCGGAUUCACUGGGUUUAAAGGGUGCGUAGGUGGGAAAGUAAGUCAGUGGUGAAAUCUCCGUGCUUAACACGGAAACUGCCAUUGAUACUAUUUUUCUUGAAUUUUCUGGAGGUCAGCGGAAUAUGUCAUGUAGCGGUGAAAUGCUUAGAUAUGACAUAGAACACCAAUUGCGAAGGCAGCUCGCUACACGAAUAUUGACUCUGAGGCACGAAAGCGUGGGGAUCAAACAGG
rnacentral:rRNA from 1 species